ensembl:lncRNA
CCUGCUCAGCCAGCUCCUGAUGGACAACACAUGUAGGAAGAAGUUGUUCCCACUGAAGCAGGAGAGCAAGGAGGUACAUCUUGAUUGUGCACUGAACCAGAAAUAUUUGGUUGACUUCAACAAGAAAGAUAAAGACCAGCAACGUCCAGACCCAGCAUCAUCUGAAAACACCACUUGAGAGACAGCUUGGGGGACCGCCUUUCAUUAUGUGUGCUAGAGGAGAAACAGCAAUACAUCUGUGCUUCUACAUGUUCGUUAAGAAUAUGCUGUUUAGAAAUAUUUUUGUUAUGAUUUUAAUUGAAGUUUUCAUUUUGUUGUUUCAUAUUUAUAUGUUCUUGUU